CGAACUGAUUAGAAGCUUGCUUCUAUGACGUUAGCGGCGGACGGGUGAGUAACACGUGGGCAACCUGCCUGUAAGACUGGGAUAACUUCGGGAAACCGAAGCUAAUACCGGAUAGGAUCUUCUCCUUCAUGGGAGAUGAUUGAAAGAUGGUUUCGGCUAUCACUUACAGAUGGGCCCGCGGUGCAUUAGCUAGUUGGUGAGGUAACGGCUCACCAAGGCAACGAUGCAUAGCCGACCUGAGAGGGUGAUCGGCCACACUGGGACUGAGACACGGCCCAGACUCCUACGGGAGGCAGCAGUAGGGAAUCUUCCGCAAUGGACGAAAGUCUGACGGAGCAACGCCGCGUGAGUGAUGAAGGCUUUCGGGUCGUAAAACUCUGUUGUUAGGGAAGAACAAGUACGAGAGUAACUGCUCGUACCUUGACGGUACCUAACCAGAAAGCCACGGCUAACUACGUGCCAGCAGCCGCGGUAAUACGUAGGUGGCAAGCGUUAUCCGGAAUUAUUGGGCGUAAAGCGCGCGCAGGCGGUUUUCUUAAGUCUGAUGUG
rnacentral:rRNA from 2 species